rnacentral:rRNA from 1 species
AUGAACGCUGGCGGCGUGCCUAAUACAUGCAAGUCGAGCGAACGGACGAGAAGCUUGCUUCUCUGAUGUUAGCGGCGGACGGGUGAGUAACACGUGGAUAACCUACCUAUAAGACUGGGAUAACUUCGGGAAACCGGAGCUAAUACCGGAUGAUAUUUUGAACCGCAUGGUUCAAAAGUGAAAGACGGUCUUGCUGGCACGUAUAGAUGGAUCCGCGCUGCAUUAGCUAGUUGGUAAGGUAACGGCUUACCAAGGCAACGAUGCAUAGCCGACCUGAGAGGGUGAUCGGCCACACUGGAACUGAGACACGGUCCAGACUCCUACGGGAGGCAGCAGUAGGGAAUCUUCCGCAAUGGGCGAAAGCCUGACGGAGCAACGCCGAGUGAGUGAUGAAGGUCUUCGGAUCGUAAAACUCUGUUAUUAGGGAAGAACAUAUGUGUAAGUAACUGUGCACAUCUUGACGGUACCUAAUCAGAAGGCCACGGCUAACUACGUG